rnacentral:rRNA from 1 species
CCCCUAGAUGUUCUGGGCCGCACGCGCGCUACACUGAACAGUUCAACAAGUCUUAACCUUGGCCGAUAGGUCUGGGUAAUCUUUGAACGCUGUUCGUGAUUGGGAUAGACCUUUGCAAUUAUGGGUCUUCAACGAGGAAUUCCUAGUAAACGCAAGUCAUCAGCUUGCAUUGAUUACGUCCCUGCCCUUUGUACACACCGCCCGUCGCACCUACCGAUUGAAUGGUCCGGUGAAAUCUCGGGACGGCGGCUUGGUCGCUUGCGUCCGACUGCUGAAACUUGAUUAAACCAUNGNAUUUAUNGGAAGGUGAANUCGUANCA